UACGUAGGGUGCAAGCGUUAAUCGGAAUACUGGGCGUAAGCGUGCGCAGGCGGUGAUGUAAGACAGGUGUGAAAUCCCUGGGCUCAACCUGGGAAUGGCAGUGGAUACUGGACGGCUAGAAUGCGGUAGAGGGUAGUGGAAUUCCCGGAUGUAGCAGUGAAAUGCGUAGAGAGUCGGGAGGAACACCAGUGGCGAAGGCGGCUACCUGGACCAGCAGUGAACACUCAAGCACGAAAGCGUGGGGAGCAAACAGG
rnacentral:rRNA from 1 species